rnacentral:rRNA from 1 species
UACGGGGGGAGCAAGCGUUGUUCGGAUUUACUGGGCGUAAAGGGCGCGUAGGCGGUCACGACAAGUCAGUUGUGAAAGCCCAGGGCUUAACCCUGGAAUUGCCUUUAAGACUGCAUCGCUAGAAUCGUGGAGAGGUGAGUGGAAUUCCGAGUGUAGAGGUGAAAUUCGUAGAUAUUCGGAAGAACACCAGUGGCGAAGGCGACUCACUGGACACGUAUUGACGCUGAGGUGCGAAAGCGUGGGGAGCAAACAGG